UAAUAUUGGAAUCUGUUCUUUUAUUUAAAUUGGGAUAUUUUAAACAAAAGUUUGUCACAAGUGAUCCAUCGCAACAGAAUCCAACCAUCAAUACACUGUUAUAUUAAUUUGUCACAAAAAAGACACAAGAAAAACAAUUAAUGAUUUAAUUUAUAUUUAAAUUAUUUUUAUUUUGUUACACAAUAAACAAGUUUUACUGUAAACAAAAAAGUAAAUGUCCACAAUAUCAACACAUCAUAUUUAAUUGUUUACUUUUUAUAAGAUAUAUUAACAAAUAUAAUAACAGACAUGGUUAACAAAGCUACUAGUAAUUUAAUGAAUAAAAUAUUUCCAAAAUAAAUUUUAAAUUCAAAUAACUAGUAUUUAUCUGAAUCAACUUUUAAAAUUGGUUAUUUAAAACAAAAAAAGUCAAAAAUGGUUUUAAUUGGUUACAAUUAAAAAAAUACUAAAAUUUUUUACAUGUUUGAUUAUUUUUUACUUACUUAAAUAAUUUUUGUUAAUUACUCAUAGAUUCCUUGUUAUUCCUUUGAAUUACAUAAUUGGGUAACUAAACACCAAUGGAGGCCAUAUUUAUACAUUUGGUUACAAGUUGAUGUUUCUUAUAAACCUAAGGUUAAAAAAACUGAUUUCCUCAAGGUCUUACAAAGUAAAAUAAUUUAUACAGAACAUCAACUCUACCAUAUCUAAAAAAUAUAUACAGAGGCCAUACUGAGGUCAAUAUUAACUCUAACCAAGGACGUAUGUUAGUUAUACGUCCUUGCUCUAACUAAAUAUAAUCAAUACAUAUAUGUAAAUAUAUACAACAAUUGUUUAAAAGUUUAUACAUCUGAAAAAUGUAUAAAUAAUAAAAAAAACCUUGAGUAUUAUCUACAACCUAAAAAAAGAACAUAAUGUAUCAAAGUUAACAAUGAAUAUCAAAAUAAUACAAGCUUUGAGGUAAAAAAUCAAAUGUUAUUUCCAUUGCAUGAAAGUUCAUUUUGCAAGGCCAUUGAAAACUGAAUAUUGGUUCCCCCUAUUAGAAGCCAAUAUCAAAUGCCUUAAGGUGGUACCCAACACCUUCACUAAAAACAAUUUGGCUCGUUUAAUUUUCAUAAAAUUUUGAAAAAGUAUUUACCCAUUGACAAAAAUAUAAAAAAAAAUCAAAAAAGUUGAACCAACCAUUUUAUCAGAAAAAAUACACUGGUUAUACAGCAGUUUGACAAACACUAAAUCUGAUCAUUAAGAAGCUUAAAAUUCCCUUAAAAACACAACAUAAUUAAAACGUUUAGCUGAUUUACAGAGUUAUCUCCCUGCAGUGUUAGGUACCACCUUAAUGGUCAGCAGGCAGCCAUUUAAUGUUUUAACAUAUUUUAUUUAUUUUGUGAUUGAUUAAAUGAGGCACUGGUUUUGCUCUACAGAGAAUUUCUUUAACCACAGACAUGGAUAUAUGCUGUUUUAAAUUUUAUAGAUGACAAAAUAUAAGAAAUUAUAAAGACAAAUAAAGCUACAUUACCAGAGAAAAAAAGUGAACCAGUGGUUAAACCAGACAAAGCAGGGUUAGGGGAAACCAACAAUCUUUUGAGCAUGGCCUGAGUACAACAUAAUCAAAAAGAAGGAUAGAUACAAGUCCCUUUUAAGUAGCAGUAAUUUUUCCAAUGAUGUCUUGAAGGGGUUUGUUUCAAUUUCCAACCAUGCACACAAAGCAAAAUUCACGGAUCAGUAAAAAUACAUUUUACAAAGAAGUGAAACAAGAACAAUGAACAAGGCAAAUAGUUAUCUGCCCCUUUUUAAAACUAAUUGCGGACAUUACAACAACAUGAUGUGAAAAUAACCUGAUAUCAGGAAUAUAAAAGAAAGAAAUAUUCAUAAUCACAUUUAAAAGUAUAAAUAGUAUAUUGUUAUAUUCAAUGACAAGUUUUAGAAUUAACAAAAAAGAAAAACAUCACUAACAACAAUUGAAAUAAAUGUACAUUAUUUGGUAUAUUUACAUAUUUAAUAACAAAUAUUGAUAUUAUAUUCAAUAUUUACACAAAUAAUUGGCACUGAUGCAGAUAAAAAGCAGAUGUCGGCACUACAUUACAUUAGUAAUAAUACUAUAAAUUCUGAAAUUAUUGUGU
rnacentral:lncRNA from 1 species